rnacentral:rRNA from 1 species
GAUGAACGCUGGCGGCGUGCCUAAUACAUGCAAGUCGAGCGAACAGACGAGGAGCUUACUCCUCUGACGUUAGCGGCGGACGGGUGAGUAACACGUGGAUAACCUACCUAUAAGACUGGGAUAACUUCGGGAAACCGGAGCUAAUACCGGAUAACAUGUUGAACCGCAUGGUUCAACAGUGAAAGACGGUCUUGCUGUCACUUAUAGAUGGAUCCGCGUCGCAUUAGCUAGUUGGUAAGGUAACGGCUUACCAAGGCAACGAUGCGUAGCCGACCUGAGAGGGUGAUCGGCCACACUGGAACUGAGACACGGUCCAGACUCCUACGGGAGGCAGCAGUAGGGAAUCUUCCGCAAUGGGCGAAGGCCUGACGGAGCAACGCCGCGUGAGUGAAGAAGGUCUUCGGAUCGUAAAACUCUGUUAUUAGGGAAGAACAAAUGUGUAAGUAACUAUGCACGUCUUGACGGUACCUAAUCAGAAAGCCACGGCUAACUACGUG